rnacentral:tRNA from 1 species
GGCCAGGUAGCUCAGUUGGUAGAGCAUUCGACUGAAAAUCGAAGUGUCGGGGGUUCGAUUCCCUCCCUGGCCA